GGCUGCCCUGCCUGUUCCUGCACCUGGCCCCAGGCUGUGUCCACCAAGCAGAAUGCUGGCAGCACUUCCUGAGUCCAUCUGGCUUGGACUCUACCCAGUUAAGCUCUGUUCAUUCAACAAACAUUUUCCAAGCCCCUGACCCCCAACCCUGCUGCCAGAGCUCACCUCCAGGACAGGGGCUGUGGAGGGGUUGGGGGUGCAGGGGAGCUGAGGAAGCC
rnacentral:lncRNA from 1 species